ACGAACGCUGGCGGCGUGCUUAACACAUGCAAGUCGAACGGAAAGGCCCUGCUUGCAGGGUACUCGAGUGGCGAACGGGUGAGUAACACGUGGGUGAUCUGCCCUGCACUUCGGGAUAGGCCUGGGAAACUGGGUCUAAUACCGGAUAGGAGCCAUUUUUAGUGUGAUGGUUGGAAAGUUUUUUCGGUGUAGGAUGAGCUCGCGGCCUAUCAGCUUGUUGGUGGGGUAAUGGCCUACCAAGGCGGCGACGGGUAGCCGGCCUGAGAGGGUGGACGGCCACAUUGGGACUGAGAUACGGCCCAGACUCCUACGGGAGGCAGCAGUGGGGAAUAUUGCACAAUGGGCGCAAGCCUGAUGCAGCGACGCCGCGUGGGGGAUGACGGCCUUCGGGUUGUAAACUCCUUUCGCUAGGGACGAAGCUUUUUGUGACGGUACCUAGAUAAGAAGCACCGGCUAACUACGUG
rnacentral:rRNA from 1 species